rnacentral:lncRNA from 1 species
AGGUGGGCACUCCUGAGGGUGCAGAGCGGAAGAGACCACCAACACUGCUCACCCCUGCCCACAUCCCUGGCCCAAGAGGAAACUGUAUAAGGCCUUGGGGCUCCCGUGGGGGAGGGCCCAGGAGCGGCAGGACCCCUGCCUGAGACACUGCCGGAAACUGAAGGAAACAGACCGGAUAAACAGUUCUCUGCACCCAAAUCCCGUGGGAGGGAGAGCUAAACCUUCAGAGAGGCAGACAAGCCUGGGAAACCAGAAGAGACUGCUCCCUGCACACACAUCUCGGACGCCAGAGGAAAAAGCCAAAGACCAUCUGGAACCCUGGUGCACUGAAGCUCCCGGAAGGGGCGGCACAGGUCUUCCUGGUUGCUGCCGCUGCAGAGAGCCCGUGGGCAGCACCCCACGAGCGAACUUGAGCCUCGGGACCACAGGUAAGACCAAAUUUUCUGCUGCAAGAAAGCUGCCUGGUGAACUCAAGACACAGGCCCACAGGAACAGCUGAAGACCUGUAGAGAGGAAAAACUACACGCCCGAAAGCAGAACACUCUGUCCCCAUAACUGACUG